UUGAGAAAAGCUAAAUAGACACACCAUUCUGACGGGUGUUUUAUGCUGUCAACGCCAGGCGCAUCUUCUUUUCACAUAAAAUAUUGAAUAAACACAAGUAGUCAUGUCCGUAUUUAGGGUAAGAAAAGCCUAUGAAGUGAGAAAUAAAAUAAAUAAUUUAGAUCGAGCGUAGGACAAGCAUGUUAGCAUAAAUACGCUAAAAAUAUUUAUAUAUUCAUUCGACCUACCAGAAAAGUGAAUUAAUAUUUAUUUGAUUUUGAUCACAAAAGUAUAAAGGAUAAUGUCCGCGACAGAAGGAAAACCACAUAACAUUCAACAUUGCCAUGGACUAUUUCAUGUGAAAUCUCCGCCGGAACCAUCUCACGAAGUAAAAGAUAAUGAAGGGGAACACUGUCACGGGAUGUUUCACUCAAGUUGGCCAUGGACAGUUUUAGCGAUGUGCCUUUUCUUGCUUGUAUUCGCUUAUGUUAUGAUGAGAUACACAGAUCGGUGUCCACGGAGAUUGAACAUUAUAAAGGGGUGUCGCAAACGUCGAAACUCCAUUUGUGAAGAGGAAGUAUGAGUCAGGAUGUAUAGAAGAUUUUAAAGAAAAUGUACAAGAACUAUCAAACUACAAACGUCUGAUAUUCGAAGAAACAUGGAUUACGUCUUAUUAUAAUGAUUUAGAACAGGGGUCUCCUACUCAAAAUAUCUCGCGGGCCACUUUUUUGAAAUUUAUUGACGACGCGGGCCGCAAACUAACAAAUUAUAUACAAAAUUGUUAUACAAAAGUUAACAAAGUAAAUCUGAAUAUAUUUGUUGAAAUUACCCUUGAAUCUUACACCAAGCGAGACAUGAAACAUAUUCGUUUACAUAUUCGUGUUGGUUCUUUGGCUCCGUUUUGAAGCGGUAAAAUACUUGAUGUUAGGCCUUAUUUUGCGUUGGUUUGCUGGUUUGCUUUGAUCGAAUCUUCACAAGUUUUGUUUAUGUCUGAGAAAAAUUUCUCUGUUUCAUCAGUGAAAAUUUUAUUUGCGAUACCUUUUCGUGGCGAAUUGUUCCAGUAUGAACAUGGUAUUUUCCCUUGUGUAAUGAUCCAUAAGUUUAUAAUAAUAUAGUUUUGCGUUAACUACACAUGUAUAUGAUUCAUAAUCAACUAAUGAUUCACAACUGCACACUUCCGUGACCUGAACGAAACUUGUUUAUUUCGUUAUAAUAAAAACGCGAAAUGAAAUGAUUGAAUUUACAAUUUAAAUAUUACAAUAGAAUAAAAUAUGAACGUGGUAAAGUGGAAUAACGGGGGUAUUUUUGUUUUACUUCAACAGUUGGUUGUACCGGACACUUGAUGUUAAAUAACACGAUAGAACUCAUAGUUGACAUCAUACUAUUUUAGUUUUUUCUGGAAAAACCUUAACCAAACGCGGGCCGCAAAAAUUUCUUUGCGGGCGCGUGUUGGAGACCCUGAUUUAGAAUAAGGAAUUUCUAAUCUUUUAACUUUCUUAUCUAUUUUUGUCAAGAAUUUACUUUUCGAAUACAAAAUAUAUAUGCUAUUCUGGUACCAAAUACAUAAGCUUUUAUUGACAAAAUAUUUCUAGCGAUAUAAAUUGACACUUUGAAAAGGCCAA